GACGAACGCUGGCGGCGUGCUUAACACAUGCAAGUCGAACGGAAAGGCCCUGCUUUUGUGGGGUGCUCGAGUGGCGAACGGGUGAGUAACACGUGAGUAACCUGCCCUUGACUUUGGGAUAACUUCAGGAAACUGGGGCUAAUACCGGAUAGGAGCUCCUGCUGCAUGGUGGGGGUUGGAAAGUUUCGGCGGUUGGGGAUGGACUCGCGGCUUAUCAGCUUGUUGGUGGGGUAGUGGCUUACCAAGGCUUUGACGGGUAGCCGGCCUGAGAGGGUGACCGGCCACAGUGGGACCGAGAGCCCGCCCGGGGGCACCCGGGAGCCAGCAGGGCGGGAGGGGGAAGACUGGGCGGAGGCUGCAUGCCGCAUCCGUCGGUGCGGGAGGGUGGCAGGCGGGUGGGAAAACGGUGGAGCCUGUUACGAAGGGGGAGGGAGGGGCAUGGACAAAGAACAAAAGCCGAAUGAACUC
rnacentral:rRNA from 1 species